AGAGUUUGAUCCUGGCUCAGGAUGAACGCUAGCGACAGGCCUAACACAUGCAAGUCGAGGGGCAGCGGGGAGGUAGCAAUACCUUUGCCGGCGACCGGCGCACGGGUGAGUAACACGUAUGCAAUCCACCUGUAACAGGGGGAUAACCCGGAGAAAUCCGGACUAAUACCCCAUAAUAUGGGCUCUCCGCAUGGAGGGCUCAUUAAAGAGAGCAAUUUUGGUUACAGACGAGCAUGCGCUCCAUUAGCCAGUUGGCGGGGUAACGGCCCACCAAAGCGACGAUGGAUAGGGGUUCUGAGAGGAAGGUCCCCCACAUUGGAACUGAGACACGGUCCAAACUCCUACGGGAGGCAGCAGUGAGGAAUAUUGGUCAAUGGGCGAGAGCCUGAACCAGCCAAGUCGCGUGAGGGAAGACGGCCCUACGGGUUGUAAACCUCUUUUGUCGGAGAGUAAAGUACGCUACGUGUAGCGUAUUGCAAGUAUCCGAAGAAAAAGCAUCGGCUAACUCCGUGCCAGCAGCCGCGGUAAUACGGAGGAUGCGAGCGUUAUCCGGAUUUAUUGGGUUUAAAGGGUGCGUAGGCGGCACGCCAAGUCAGCGGUGAAAUUUUCGGGCUCAACCCGGACUGUGCCGUUGAAACUGGCGAGCUAGAGUGCACAAGAGGCAGGCGGAAUGCGUGGUGUAGCGGUGAAAUGCAUAGAUAUCACGCAGAACCCCGAUUGCGAAGGCAGCCUGCCAAGCCAUUACUGACGCUGAUGCACGAAAGCGUGGGGAUCAAACAGGAUUAGAUACCCUGGUAGUCCACGCAGUAAACGAUGAUCACUAGCUGUUUGCGAUACACUGUAAGCGGCACAGCGAAAGCGUUAAGUGAUCCACCUGGGGAGUACGCCGGCAACGGUGAAACUCAAAGGAAUUGACGGGGGCCC
rnacentral:rRNA from 1 species